rnacentral:rRNA from 1 species
UACGGAGGGUGCAAGCGUUAUCCGGAUUCACUGGGUUUAAAGGGUGCGUAGGCGGCUUGGUAAGUCAGGUGUGAAAGUUUGCGGCUCAACCGUAAAAUUGCUUUUGAUACUGCCAGGCUAGAAUCAGGAUGAGGUCAGCGGAAUGUGGCAUGUAGCGGUGAAAUGCAUAGAUAUGCCAUAGAACACCUAUUGCGAAGGCAGCUGGCUAGACCUGUAUUGACGCUGAGGCACGAAAGCGUGGGGAGCGAACAGG